ensembl:lncRNA
GGGCACUGGAGGUAAAGAGGGUCAGGCCCAGGCUACCUAGGUUUGCAUCCUGCUGGGCUGUGGAUUGGAAAAACCAGACAGGACCAAAACCAGGGCAGGGGCUUGGCAAGGACUAGAGUCCAGGCUUAUAGCAGGGAGCAUGCUGGGUGAUGGGUUUGUGGGAGAAGAGGAGGAGAGGAGAUUAAGGGAAAAUAUAAGCGAAUAAGUGAUAUGUUUUCUCCAGCAAAGCAUCUGCCUGUCCCAGGAUGGGCUCACCAGAUGUUCCCCAGAUGUUGAUGGUGAUGGGAAACAUCUCCCUGUGGGAUCCCAACUAAACCCUUCCUGUUCCUGGGGAAGUAAAGGGUCUGUUCCAAGACCAGGAGGGUGGGGCCUCAGCAGCAUCCAUCUGUGACUGUGGCACAGAUCCAGGCAAACACACCCACACAUCAGGGAAUUUCUGGCAACUUGGAAGAGUCCUACAGAUUUCUCAAACAUUUAGCAUCCACAGACCACCCUUUUUAGCAGGUUCAGUGUCCUGUGUGCCAUCUCAGCCCCACCCCUCCAUGGCUGAGCAGUGGAGUGCCUGGCCCUGCCUAAGACCCUGGCUCUGGAGUUUAGUCUGUGAGUCUGCUCCUGCUUGACACGCCCCUAUCUAAGGCAGCGGAUUCACUGGCUCCUCAAGGCUGAAGGCAACCGGGAACCAGUACCCAUCUCUAAUCUUGCAAAGGAAUUCAGUGAGAAAUGGAAUAAAAAAAUCACCAAGCACAUUUCCUCCAUAUGCUUUGUGAAACCAUAGAGAAUGCUCAUAUUGCACACCCCAGUGGGACACCCAUCAGCGAUGCUUUCAACCACUAGUGAUAAGCCAGGCAUGGUGGCACACACCUGUAAUCUCAGCCCUCGGGAGGCUGAGGCAGGAGGAUUACUAUGAGUUCAAGGCCAGCCUGAGCUACACAGUGAGUUCAGGGCCAGCCUGAACUACAAAGUGAAACUCUGUCUCAAAAAACCAAAAAAAACAACAAACAAACAAACAAAAAAAC